CCUGCGGAAGGAUCAUUACAGAGAACAUGCCCUCUAGGGUAUAUCUCCCACCCUUUGUUUAUAAUACUUUUGUUGCUUUGGCGGGCCCGUCUUAUGACCGCCGGCUACAGCUGGUCUGUGCCCGCCAGAGGACCCAAAACUCUUUUAUUAUACUGUCUGAGCAAUAUACAAAUUAGUUAAAACUUUCAACAACGGAUCUCUUGGUUCUGGCAUCGAUGAAGAACGCAGCGAAAUGCGAUAAGUAAUGUGAAUUGCAGAAUUCAGUGAAUCAUCGAAUCUUUGAACGCACAUUGCACCCUCUGGUAUUCCGGGGGGUAUGCCUGUUCGAGCGUCAUUUCAACCCUCAAGCACUGCUUGGUAUUGGAUGCCACCAGAUGUGGUGCAUCCCAAAAGCAUUGGCAGUGGCGUCCAGCUUCUAGUGUAGUAAUUUUUCUUGCUUUGGAGUUUGGAUGUCCGCUGGCCAGAACCCCUUAAUCUAUCAAAUGGUUGACCUCGGAUCAGGUAGGGAUACCCGCUGAACUUAAGCAUAUCAAUAAGCGGAGGA
rnacentral:rRNA from 1 species